rnacentral:rRNA from 1 species
CGUCCUACGGGACGCAGCAGUGGGGGAUAUUGCACAAUGGGGGAAACCCUGAUGCAGCGACGCCGCGUGAGUGAAGAAGUAUUUCGGUAUGUAAAGCUCUAUCAGCAGGGAAGAAAAUGACAGUACCUGACCAAGAAGCCCCGGCUAACUACGCGCCAGCAGCCGCGGUAAUACGUAGGGGGCAAGCGUUAUCCGGAUUUACUGGGUGUAAAGGGCGUGCAGCCGGAGAGACAAGUCAGAUGUGAAAUCCACGGGCUCAACCCGUGAACUGCAUUUGAAACUGUUUCCCUUGAGUGUCGGAGAGG